CUGCUGCCUUCCGUAGGAGUUUGGGCCGUGUCUCAGUCCCAAUGUGGCCGUUCACCCUCUCAGGCCGGCUACUGAUCGUCGCCUUGGUAGGCCGUUACCCCACCAACCAGCUAAUCAGACGCGGGCUCAUCUUAUACUACCGGAGUUUUUCACACAGAAACAUGCGUCCCCGUGCGCUUAUGCGGUAUUAGCAGUCAUUUCUAACUGUUAUCCCCCUGUAUAAGGCAGAUUACCCACGUGUUACUCACCCGUCCGCCGCUAAG
rnacentral:rRNA from 1 species